rnacentral:rRNA from 1 species
UACGGAGGGGGCUAGCGUUGUUCGGAAUUACUGGGCGUAAAGCGUACGUAGGCGGCUUUGUAAGUUAGAGGUGAAAGCCCGGAGCUCAACUCCGGAAUUGCCUUUAAGACUGCAUCGCUAGAAUCAUGGAGAGGUGAGUGGAAUUCCGAGUGUAGAGGUGAAAUUCGUAGAUAUUCGGAAGAACACCAGUGGCGAAGGCGACUCACUGGACAUGUAUUGACGCUGAGGUACGAAAGCGUGGGGAGCAAACAG